rnacentral:rRNA from 1 species
GACGAACGCUGGCGGCGUGCUUAACACAUGCAAGUCGAACGGAAAGGCCCUGCGUUUGUGUGUUUCUCGAGUGGCGAACGGGUGAGUAACACGUGAGUAACCUGCCCUUAACUUUGGGAUAACUUCAGGAAACUGGGGCUAAUACCGGAUAGGAGCUCCUGCUGCAUGGUGGUGGUUGGAAAGUGUCGGCGGUUGGGGAUGGACUCGCGGCUUAUCAGCUUGUUUGUGGGGUAGUGGCUUACCAGGGGUUUGACGGGUAGCCGGCCUGAGAGGGUGACCGGCAACAUUGGGACUGAGAUACGGCGCAGACUGAUACGGGCGGCAGUAGUGGGGAAUCUUGCAGAAUGGGCGGACGCCUGAUGCAGCAACGCCGCGUGCGGGAUGAAGGGUUUCGGGGUGUAAACCGAUUUCGCCUGGGACGAAGAGUGAGUGACGGUAAUGGGUAAAGAAGCAACGGCUAACUACGUG